CUUAAUCCUAAAGGGUGAGAAUUAAGCAUAAUCGGAUACCGUUUAAUUGGCGGAGUGUUGAAUGGAUUCACGAGGGCGAAACUGUCUUAACUUAAGAUAUAAAUAAAAUAGAUAUAAUGGUGAAGAAGCCUUUUUAUAUAGAAAGACGAGAAGACCCCGUGAAGCUUAACCAUAAGUAUGCUAUCUAAAAUUCUCUUUUAGAUCUUUUACCUACUCCCAUAGGAGUCACAUCGUAAUAAUGAUUUAUUUGAUCAAGGAUUUCUCCUAGCUUGCCUGGUGGUUUUGGUGGGGUGCCAGCACGUUAAAUAGAACAUGGAGUUAGCUACCGUAGGUUAUAAUAAACUAGUUUAAUAUACAUAUUUAUACAGAGAUAAACAUCGGUAAAAUGACCCGCCUAAAAUCUAUAUAAAAGACGACAAAGGAUGAUAGCUACUCCGGGGAUAACAGG
rnacentral:rRNA from 1 species